ensembl:lncRNA
AAAAAAACACAAGGGGAAACACUGUUGUUUUUCUUUGGUCGUCAUGAAAAAAACAUAAGGGGUAACACUGUUGUUUUUUAUUGGUCGUCAUGAAAAAAAACAUAAGGGGUAACACUAUUGUCUUUGUCAAAUAAAAUAUAAGGGCUAACACUGUCGUAUUUUAUUGGUCGCCAUGAAAAAAAACAUAUUUGAAAAAAGGAAAAAAAUUGUCCGUGACAAAAAAAAUAUAAGGGGUAACACUGUUGUUUUUCAUCAGUCACCAUGGGAAAAAAAACACAAGGGGGGUAACUGUUGUUUUUUAUUAGUCGUCAUGAAAAAAAACAUAAGGGGUAACACUGUUGUUUUUUAUUGGUCGUCAUGAAAAAAAACAUGAGGGGUAACACUGUUGUUUUUUUAUUGGUCGUCAUGAAUAAAAACAUAAGGGGGUAACACUGUUGUUUUUAUAGAUCGUCAUGAAAAAAAAACAUAAGGGGUAACACUGUUGUCUUUGUCAAAUAAAAUAUAAGGGGUAACACU